rnacentral:misc_RNA from 1 species
GAUGAAGAACGUAGCGAAAUGCGAUAAGUAAUGUGAAUUGCAGAAUUCAGUGAAUCAUCGAAUCUUUGAACGCACAUUGCGCCCCUUGGUAUUCCGAGGGGCAUGCCUGUUCGAGCGUCAUAUUAACCACUCCCGCUUGCGGGGUCUUGGGCUUCGCCUCCGGGCGGGCCUUAAAAUCAGUGGCGGUGCCGUCGGGCUCUACGCGUAGUAAAUUUUCUCGCGAUAGGGUCCCGGUGGAUGCUUGUCAACAACCCCCAACUUCUUAAGGUUGACCUCGGAUCAGGUAGGGAUACCCGCUGAACUUAAGCAUAUCAAUAAGCGGAGGA